UACAAAACAUAGCCUGCCGAAAGGCAGGGUAAUUUUCCAUAAUCCCUACGGGGCAAAGACGCAAGUCGCUUAGAAAGCGGCGUAUCUACUACCAGCUAGUUGGUGAGGUAAUGGCUCACCAAGGCUAUGACGGUUACCGGCUCUUAGCGGAGAGUCCGGCACAAUGGGACUGAGACACGGCCCAUACACCUACGGGUGGCAGCAGUUAGGAAUUUUGCACAAUGGACGAAAGUCUGAUGCAGCGACAUCGCGUGAGGGAUGACGGCCUUAGGGUUGUAAACCUCUUUUGUUUUUUCAUGAAGAAAGAACGAAUAAGCAACUACUAACUACGUGCCAGCAGUCGCGGUAAUACGUAGGUUGCAAGCGUUACCCGGUUUUAUUGGGCGUAAAGGGUCCGUAGGUUGUCCUUCAAGUCUUGUUUCAAAUACCUCGGCUUAACCGAGGAAAGGGGCAAGAUACUGACCGACUAGAGUUAUAUCGGGGUUACUGGAAUUUUUAGUGUAGGGGUAAAAUCCGUGGAUACUAAAAAGAACACCAAGCGCGAAGGCGGGUAACCAGGUAUAUACUGACACUAAGGGACGAAAGCUAGGGUAGCAAAUCAGAUUAGAGACCUGAGUAGUCCUAGCCGUAAACAUUGUUCGCUAAUUUUUUCUCCAAUUUAUUGGGGGGAGAUGCAAGUU
rnacentral:rRNA from 1 species